UGAAAAGAACUGAGGUGAUCAGAGUGAAAUAGAACCUGAAACCAUUUGCUUACAAUCAUUCAGAGCCCUAUGUAGCAAUACAGGGUGAUGGACUGCCUUUUGCAUAAUGAGCCUGCGAGUUGUGGUGUCUGGCAAGGUUAAGCAAACGCGAAGCCGUAGCGAAAGCGAGUCUGAAUAGGGCGCUUAGUCAGAUGCUGCAGACCCGAAACGAAGUGAUCUAUCCAUGAGCAAGUUGAAGCUAGUGUAAGAACUAGUGGAGGACUGAACCCAUAGGCGUUGAAAAGCCCCGGGAUGACUUGUGGAUAGGGGUGAAAGGCCAAUCAAACUUCGUGAUAGCUGGUUCUCUCCGAAAUAUAUUUAGGUAUAGCGUUGUGUCGUAAUAUAAGGGGGUAGAGCACUGAAUGGGCUAGGGCAUACACCAAUGUACCAAACCCUAUCAAACUCCGAAUACCUUAUAUGUAAUCACAGCAGUCAGGCGGCGAGUGAUAAAAUCCGUCGUCAAGAGGGAAACAACCCAGACUACCAGCUAAGGUCCCUAAAUCUUACUUAAGUGGAAAACGAUGUGAAGUUACUUAAACAACCAGGAGGUUGGCUUAGAAGCAGCCAUCCUUUAAAGAAAGCGUAAUAGCUCACUGGUCUAGUGAUUUUGCGCGGAAAAUAUAACGGGGCUAAAGUAAGUACCGAAGCUGUAGACUUAGUUUAC
rnacentral:rRNA from 1 species